AUGCAUGUGUAAGAAUAAACCGAAUAUGGUAAAUCCGCGAAUGGCUCAUUAUUCAGCCACAAAUCAUUGGAUCUAAUCAGUUACUUGGAUAACUGUUCAAAAGGAAGAGCUAAGACAUGCCUCGAAGGCCAAGCGCAAGCUUGGUCGCACUUCUUAGAAAAGACCAAUUGGCCUUUGCCAUCCAUUGGUGAAUCUUCCGAAGAAAGCAGAUCGCACGGUCUAGUACCGGCGACAUAUCCUUCAUGUGUCUGCCUUAUCAACUGUCGAUGGUAGUUUAUUGGACUACCAUGGUUGUAACGGGUAACGGAGAAUUAGGGUUCGACUCCGGAGAGGGAGCCUGAGAUAAGGCUACCACAUCCAAGGAAGGCAGCAGGCGCGCAAAUUACCCACUCUCAGUGCGAGGAGGUAGUGACGAAAAAUAACGAGACAGUCUUCUAUGAGGUCUGUCAUCGGAAUGGGUACAACUUUAAACCCUUUAAACGAGGAUCUAUUGGAGGGCAAGUCUGGUGCCAGCAGCCGCGGUAAUUCCAGCUCCAAAAGUGUAUAUUAAAAUUGUUGCGGUUAAAAAGCUCGUAGUUGGAUCUUCGACCAUCAAGAGCGGUAGCCCAUUGGGUUUCACUGCUUCUUGUGGUCUCCUUACAGGUUUUUCCUUGGUGCUCUUAACUGAGUGCCUUGGUUGGAUAGUGCUUUUACUUUGAAAAAAUUAGAGUGCUCAAAUGCAGGAGUUAAAUGCCUGAAUAGUGGUGCAGGGAAUAAUGGAAUAGGACCUCGGUUACUAUUUUGUUGGUUUUCGGAGCUCGAGGUAAUGAUUAAGAGGGACAAACGGGGGCAUUUGUACUGCUGCGUUAGAGGUGAAAUUCUUGGAUCGCAGCAUGACAAACAACUGCGAAAGCAUUUGCCAAGAAUGUUUUCAUUAAUCAAGAACGAUAGUUAGAG
rnacentral:rRNA from 1 species